UACGUAGGGUGCGAGCGUUGUCCGGAAUUAUUGGGCGUAAAGAGCUUGUAGGUGGCUCGUCGCGUCGGGAGUGAAAACCCCGCGGCUUAACCGCGGGCCUGCUUUCGAUACGGGCGGGCUAGAGUUCGGCAGGGGAGACUGGAAUUCCUGGUGUAGCGGUGGAAUGCGCAGAUAUCAGGAGGAACACCGGUGGCGAAGGCGGGUCUCUGGGCCGAUACUGACACUGAGAAGCGAAAGCGUGGGGAGCGAACAGG
rnacentral:rRNA from 1 species